CCGUGGUGCUCCCCGAUGCGGAGGCGUUGGUGGCCCCGCGGGACGCGCCCAGCCCGGCGUUGCGGGCGCUGCCCGGUGUCCGCACGCGGCGCUGCUCCCCCCGCGCUGAGGCGGGGCUGCGCAGCGCGGGCGGCGGCGGCGCCGGGCUCCGAUCCCCGUGACACGGAGCCAAUCAGAGCUCCGAGCUGGCGCUGCCGGCCCGGCCCCGCUCGCAGCCGCUCGGGCAGGAGAGCUGUGGACGGGGAAACGCUGCCGCGGGAGCCCGGGGUCGCCUCGCUGCGCUCCAUGGGGAUCGAGAGCUUCUGCAGCGUGGACGCUUCCGAGCCUUUCUGGGAUUGGAAUCUGACAUGGCACACAGAAGAUCCAGAUUUCACCCCGUGCUUUCAGAACACAGUCCUGGUCUGGAUUCCUUGCAUUUACCUGUGGCUCUGCUUCCCAGUGUACUUCCUGUACCUUCGCCGUCAUGACAGGGGGUACAUCCAAGUGUCAAACCUUAACAAAGCCAAAACGGCUUUGGGCUUAAUACUGUGGAUAGUCUGCUGGGCAGACCUUUUCUACUCUUUCUGGAAAAGAAGUCAAAAUAUUUCUCUAGCUCCAUUUUUUCUCGUUAGCCCUACAGUAUUGGGUAUAACAAUGUUGCUGGCCACAUUUUUAAUACAACAUGAAAGAAUAAAAGGAGUCCAGUCUUCAGGUGUAAUGACGAUUUUCUGGUUCAUCUCAUUUUUAUGUGCCACAGUGAUUUUUAUAUCCAAAAUAAAACAUGCCUUAAAUGUGGGUGCUGAUGAGGAUGCAUUUCAUUAUGUCACCUUCUGCAUCUACUUUGUCCUGGUGUUAGUAGAGCUCAUCCUGUGUUGCUUUCCAGAGCAACCACCUCUGUUUUCUGAAACAGUAAAUGAUCCUAAUCCAUGUCCAGAGUUCAGUUCUUCUUUCCUAUCCAGAAUGACAUUCUGGUGGAUUACUGGGUUGAUGAUUCAGGGUUAUCGGAAACCUCUGGAAGCCAAGGAUUUGUGGUCAUUAAAUAAAGAGGACAAAUCAGAGGAAGUAGUGCCAGGUUUGGCUAGAAAUUGGGCAAAAGAGUGGUCAAAGACCAAGAGGCAACCACUAAACAUGUUGUAUGCACCCAAAAAGCAGCAAAAAUCAGGGGACUCAAAUGGUGAUGUGACAGAAGAGGUUGAAGCUUUGAUUAUAAAACCAUCUCAGAAGAGCCAUGAAGCAUCUUUAUUCAAGGUGUUAUACAAAACCUUUGGACCAUAUUUUUUCAUGAGCUUCCUUUUUAAAGCUGCACAUGAUUUCUUGAUGUUUUCAGGCCCAGGAAUUCUGGGAUCGCUGCUUAGCUUUGUAUAUAACAAAGCUGCCCCAAACUGGCAAGGCUAUUUUUAUACAGUGCUGCUGUUUGUUUGUGCCUGUCUUCAGACACUGAUUAUUCACCAGUAUUUUCAUAUUUGCUUCGUAACUGGAAUGAGGCUCAAAACAGCCAUUGUUGGUGUAAUUUAUCGAAAGGCACUUGUUAUCUCAAAUUCUGCUAGGAAGACUUCUACAGUGGGUGAGAUUGUGAAUCUGAUGUCUGUGGAUGCUCAGAGAUUCAUGGAGUUGACUACUUAUAUAAACAUGAUUUGGUCUGCCCCUCUUCAGGUGAUACUGGCACUGUACUUCCUGUGGCGGAAUUUAGGUCCUUCAGUGCUGGCAGGUGUAGCUGUCAUGAUCCUUCUGGUUCCAAUAAAUGCUGUGAUAGCAAUGAAGACAAAAACCUAUCAGGUGGCUCAAAUGAAGAGCAAAGACAACAGAAUUAAGCUGAUGAAUGAAAUUCUCAAUGGGAUUAAAGUUCUGAAACUUUAUGCUUGGGAAUUAGCCUUUAGAGAGAAGGUAUUAAAGAUCAGACAGAAAGAACUCCAAGUCCUAAAAAAAUCUGCUUACCUUGCUGCAAUGGCAACCUUCACUUGGGUUUGUGCUCCGUUUUUGGUUGCCCUGUCCACGUUUGCUGUGUAUGUCAUGACAGACAAGAGGAAUGUUUUGGAUGCUCAGAAGGCUUUUGUUUCUCUGGCAUUAUUCAACAUCCUCAGGUUUCCACUGAACAUGCUUCCUAUGGUCAUCAGCAGCAUUGUAGAAGCCAGUGUCUCCUUGAAGCGCCUCAGGGUGUUCCUGUCUCACGAAGAGUUAGAUCCAGACAGCAUAGUCAGGGGUCCCAUCAAAGAGGCUGAAGGAUGCAUUGUUGUGAAGAAUGCAACGUUUAGCUGGGCCAAAACUGAUCCUCCUUUGCUGAGCAGCAUUAAUUUCACUGUUCCUGAAGGCUCCUUGGUGGCUGUUGUUGGUCAAGUUGGCUGUGGAAAGUCUUCACUGCUGUCUGCAUUACUGGGGGAGAUGGACAAAAAGGAAGGCUACGUGGCUGUCAAGGGCUCUGUAGCCUACGUUCCUCAGCAAGCCUGGGUCCAGAAUGCAACUCUGGAAGAUAACAUUAUCUUUGGAAGGGAGAGGAAUGAGAGCCGGUACAAGCGUGUGAUUGAGGUUUGUGCCCUGGUGCCUGAUGUAGAGAUUCUUCCUUCAGGAGACAAAACAGAAAUAGGAGAAAAGGGUGUGAAUUUGUCUGGAGGACAGAAGCAGCGAGUCAGUCUUGCUCGGGCAGUUUACUGCAAUGCAGAUGUCUAUUUACUUGAUGAUCCUUUAUCAGCUGUUGAUGCUCAUGUUGGGAAACAUAUUUUUGAAAAAGUUAUUGGACCAAAAGGAAUCCUGAAAAAUAAAACUCGGGUUUUGGUAACCCAUGCAAUCAACUAUCUGCCUCAGAUGGAUACAAUUCUGGUAAUGACUGAUGGAGAAAUCUCUGAGAUGGGCUCUUACCAGGAGCUGCUGGAGCAAGAUGGGGCUUUUGCUGAGUUUCUUCGUACAUAUGCUAAUGCUGAACAAACCAUGGAGAACAGUGAUACAAACAGUCCAUCUGCAAAGGAAGGCAAGCCUAUAGAAAAUGGAGUCCUUGUGAAUGAAGCCCCUGGAAAGUUGAUGCAUAGGCAGCUCAGUAACUCUUCAACGUACAGCAGAGACACUGGGAAGCCACAGCACCAGAGCAGCACAGCAGAGCUGCAGAAGCCUCUUGCUGAGAAGAAUUCCUGGAAACUGACGGAGGCCGACACAGCAAAGACCGGGAGGGUAAAGGCAUCAGUGUACUGGGAAUACAUGAAAGCCAUUGGACUCUUUAUGUCUUUCUUGGCCAUUUUCCUCUUUGUGUGUACUCAUGUAGCCUCCUUGGCUUCCAACUACUGGCUGAGUCUAUGGACAGAUGAUCCUGUUAUCAAUGGGACACAGCAGAACACAACUCUCAGACUGGGAGUAUAUGGAGCUCUGGGAAUUUCUCAAGGUGUUUCUGUGUUUGGCUACUCAAUGGUUGUGUCCAUAGGAGGAAUCUUUGCAUCACGACACCUGCACCAUAACUUGCUGCACAAUGUCCUCAGGUCUCCAAUGAGCUUCUUUGACCGUACUCCCAGUGGGAACCUGGUGAACCGUUUCUCCAAGGAGAUAGACACCAUUGACUCUGCCAUUCCACCCAUCAUCAAGAUGUUCAUGGGCUCCACAUUUAAUGUGAUUGGGGCUUGUAUCAUCAUUCUGCUGACCACACCUAUAGCUGCUGUCAUUAUCCCACCCCUGGGACUUUUCUACUUUUUUGUGCAGAGAUUUUAUGUGGCCACUUCACGGCAGCUGAAGCGCCUCGAGUCUGUCAGUCGUUCUCCUGUGUAUUCCCACUUCAACGAGACUCUCCUGGGAGUCAGUGUCAUCAGAGCCUUUGAGGAGCAGAAACGUUUCAUCAAGCAGAAUGACAUGAAGGUGGAUGAGAAUCAGAAAGCUUAUUAUCCAAGCAUUAUUGCAAACAGGUGGCUGGCUGUCCGUCUGGAGUACGUGGGGAACUGCAUUGUCCUGUUUGCAGCACUGUUUGCAGUGAUUGCACGCAGCAAACUCAGCCCAGGGCUGGUUGGCCUCUCAGUGUCCUACUCACUGCAGAUCACAGCGUAUUUGAACUGGCUGGUUCGCAUGUCAUCCGACCUGGAAAACAACGUUGUUGCUGUUGAAAGAGUCAAAGAGUACUCUGAGAUGGAGAAGGAGGCUGAGUGGAGGAUUGAGCAAACAGCCCCAGCCAGUAGCUGGCCCGAGGAAGGGAAGGUGGAGUUCCGAGGCUAUGGUUUACGCUACCGGGACGACUUGGACCUGGUUCUGAAAAACAUAAAUGUUACCAUCAAUGGAGGAGAAAAGAUAGGAAUAGUUGGAAGAACAGGAGCUGGAAAAUCCUCACUUACUUUGGGUUUGUUUCGGAUUAAUGAAGCAGCCGAAGGUGAAAUUAUUAUUGAUGGGAUUAAUAUUGCAAAGAUAGGGCUCCACGACUUGCGGUUCAAGAUCACCAUCAUCCCUCAGGAUCCAGUGUUGUUUUCUGGCUCUCUGCGUAUGAAUCUUGAUCCUUUUGACCAACACUCUGAUGAAGACAUCUGGAGAUCUUUGGAAUUGGCUCACCUGAAGAACUUUGUAUCAUCCCUUCCUGAUAAACUGAAUCAUGAGUGUUCUGAGGGUGGUGAGAACCUCAGUGUGGGACAGCGCCAGCUGGUGUGCCUGGCACGGGCUCUGCUCAGGAAGUCCAAAAUCCUGGUUCUGGAUGAAGCCACAGCUGCUGUUGAUCUUGAAACAGAUAAGCUCAUACAGUCAACUAUAAAGUCUCAAUUUGAAGAAUGUACUGUAUUAACUAUAGCACAUCGUCUGAACACAAUCAUGGACUACACGAGAAUUCAACACUGAACAUGAAGCAAACUCAGAAGCCUCUGGAUAUUCCACCCUGGUUUCACUUCAGCCCUGAGGAAUUAGUUCAUCCAGCACCCACCCUGACCUACAGUAUUGAGAGAUGACUAAGGGAACUAGAUCGGUGCUGAAGGCGAUCCAGAGGCACGCUGGCAAUUUAAGCCAUUCCUGGCUCUUCCAGUCGGUCCCUGGAUGCGUUCAGAAGGACAUCUUGUGGCUGCCCUGAACCAUUCCCCAUUACGUUCUGGGACUAUGCCAAGGAGCUGGAACGGGACUUUUAGCCUACCCUGGGCCACCACCUUUUGGUUAUAAAGAGAGGUGACAAGAAAAUCUGAAGCAGAAGUUUAUCAGUCAGCUCACAAUAACCAUACUCACAGUCUCCUAAAAGGGACUGAAUGCUGAAUACACAGGCAACAAUUUCUUCAGAGGAGUCCUGUUUCCUCACUGGCCACAAGUCAUCCACCCCCAAGGCCUGCUGAGAGCCUUUCCAGAGGAGCCUGGAGGACACAGACUGCAGUCAGAGGAGCACAGCAGGAUCUGUGGUGUGUGUGACACUUUCAGAACAUAGGGGUGUCAAGGCAGUGCACCACAGAGAGCACACAGGCACUGACAUCACUGCUCAGGACUGUCCUGUCCCACCAGAAACAUAAAUGUCCAGGAACAGCAGUUUUGCUGUGAAUCCCUAGGCUAUCUUCUGUCAGCACAAUGGGGAUUUGCAAGUCAGCCCUAAUUUCUAGGGCUUCUAGUCCCACUAUUGGGUUGUGGAGAAGCAAGUUCAGUUUAACUUUCUCUGGGCUCCAGGAAAGGCAGAUGAGACCCAAUCACAGUGGACAUUAAGGAAUGUAACUGUUUUACUUCUGAAUGCUCAGCAUCACACUGGGCCUAUGUCCUCCUCACUGUUUUCCCCUUUCCCAGCAUUUGUUACAGCAAGGUCUGGCAGGAAGAGAGGGCUGUGGUUGGUGUACAGUGAUCUUUUGAGAUUGUUGAGAUCUACUUCAAGAUUGGGAGGGCACUGGAGGGGGAGUUGGGAGGCAGAAGACAAUUAUCUAGAAUCACAAAGUAUUAAACUAUUUUGAGGAAAGUAAUUUUUUUUUUUUUUUAAAUUUGAUCUUGUGAGAAUACCUCACAGGAAAAAUAAUUUAAAGAAAUAAUUUAAAUCCUCACUCCAUAAUCUAACUCAGGAGCUGAGAUAUUUCCUAGUGGCUACCAUCUACACCCUCUCUGAUCUCUGAUGCCACUGCUUUUUUCUGAUAUUGUAGCAGAACCACAUCUUUUGUUUUCUUACCCAGAGAACCACCAGUAUGUGAUUUUGGAAAGAAAAGAACUUCUGGCUUCUGGGCACUGAUUCUGAUGGGAGAGAAAACAUGUGUGAUAUUUAUAUAUAGAAAAGGGCAUGUGUCACAUGAAUAUAGCUCCCCAGGAGAAGCAAUCAGAGUAUGCUCCCUCCCCACACAUUGAACCAGAGUAAGUGUAUUGUGAAGGCUCAGUGGGUUUGUGAAAUUUUGGGGAAUUUAACUUUGCAUAAUGUCUCAGAUGGAAGAACAAAGAAUACAAUUCUUCAUUUCUUUUCUUAAGCACAGAGCUUUUCCAUUCUCAUACCACCAACAGAGUACUGCAGAACACGAGAGCAGUACUAGGGGAAGCAAGAGGAACCCUAUCCACUGGUUUCAGUGACAAUAAACAUGAGUAUGGAUAGGUUUUUAGUUUUGAAAAACUUACAUACAGAGAGAGAGCACUGUUAUCCCGAAUUCUGCCAGUUACAUUUUAAAACUGCCAGCUUUUUUACAGAAUAAUGGAUCUUACAUCACCCAGAUACUCAUGCGCCUGUGUAUCCCCAUAUAUUUAAAAUCCUGUUUCAGCAAUGAAGCAAAGCAUUAGGAAAAGCUACCUUAUACUUACAGGAUUGUUGUCAGCUUCAGAGAAGAAGGGAGGGUGAUCAACUAAGCAGAAUAACACAAGUUCUCCUAGUACCAGGCCAGCAUAAAGAUAAGUUGUAACAUGGUGCAAAUGGUCUUCCAGGAAGCCCUAAGGAACAGAAUACUGGUUAAAAUGAGGUAAGAACCUUCAUGUUUAACCAACAUAGAAAGAGCUUCUCAUGUUUUACCUCUGCAAGUAAACAACCACCACAAAUAUGUCAUAAAUCAAUUUUCUCAGCACAUAUUUAAAGAGGCUUUUGAUUCUCCCCCUUGCAGUCAAUGAGACAAAACCAGCCCUGUUGUUUAGAGACUCUGUAAUCUGCACAUUAAAGAUAUGUGAUCUCACUUACUUUUUCCAAGGCAUGCUGAAUUUUGGAGUUAACCAUCACAAGUGCAGCCACAAAUGAGAGCAGCCAGUAAAUCAAUAGGACCCCUGAAGACUGGAUGCCCAUCAUUCUUUCUGCUUGGGUAAGGAACAAGGCAAGGACCUGUGAGGAAGUACAAAUUUGUCCAAAUAAAUACCUGGUAAUGGAAUGCCAAA